UUUUUGACUAUUGGAAUUUAAAUCCGUUUCUCUGAUUUGAAGCUACUCUCUCCUGUUUUCUGCCCUGUGUUAUUCCUUCAUUUUUGAAGAAAUACAGUGUGUCAGAUCUCAAAACUCUGCCAACGAAUUGGGACAGUCCAAAUGGUCAAGUAGAAAAAGACUCAAAAAUGAAACUAUGUUUACUGUUCUUGCUGCCACGGGGAACACUAAUCAGGAACCCCUUCAUUAUUCCACUGAAAAAAAGUUUAUUGCACACCUGGAUGCCUUCUACAACUAUUCUGAUGAAGCUCUGGCACACGUGAUUCCCACAUUUUCCAAGGCUCUUCAAGGCUCCAAGCCCUGAGGAAUUCUGUGACUUCACACUUGCUCAAAAUAUGAAUCUGAAAAUAAAAUUAAUCUAUGGAAUAUAAAAAAGUCAGUUGAAAAGACUCAAUGACAUGGACCCUUCUGUAAGUGAGCAGCAAAGCAUUAACUGGUCUUAAGAGACUUCCAUCGGCAGCCAGGUGCCUUGCAGUUCCCAGGAGUUCUAGAUCCCAGACUCCCUCGGCAUCAUCUUCCUGGAAACACUGCUUCAGGGUCAUUACCACAAAGAGAGAAGUGUUCAAAAGCACAGGAAAUUGAAGUUUGGAAAUAUCCAGUAACUUGCUGGCCCAGUGUUAUGUCAUAUGGUUGGUAAGUGGCACAUCCAGGACUUUGACCCAGGCCCCAGUCUUCCUGGUAGGUCAAGACACUGAGCUGGAAAGACGGAUUCCAAGCGAGAUCUUUGCAUCGCUGUUCCCAAGUACCAGCUGUGGAAAAAUCUGUAACUUUCGUUACAGACAGGUGUAUUGGGCAAAGUCUGAGCCAAGCUGGCCCUGAGGUGUUAUUGUUCCUGCCCUCCAGUGGCUUUCUUUCUUUUUUUUUUUUUUUAAAUUUUUUUUUUAACAUUUAUUUAUUUUUGAGACAGAGAGA